GGGCGAGUGGCGGAACUGGCAGACGCGCCAGACUUAGGAUCUGGUGGGGUAACCCGUGGAGGUUCAAGUCCUCUCUCGCCCACCA
rnacentral:tRNA from 2 species